UACCUCUAAGAUGGGGAUAACCUUCCGAAAGGAGGGCUAAUACCGAAUAAGACCACAGUUACUACGGUAAUCGAGGUUAAAGAUGGCCUCUACUUGUAAGCUAUCACUUAGAGAUGGGCUUAUGCACCAUUAGCCUGUUGGUAGGGUAAUGGCCUACCAAAGCUAUGAUGGUUAGCUGAUCUGAGAGGUUGAUCAGCCACACUGGAACUGAGACACGGUCCAG
rnacentral:rRNA from 1 species